rnacentral:lncRNA from 10 species
ACAGACCACCUACUGCCAGACCUCAACGCCUCACAAAACUCUCACCCACCUACUGCUUUUAGCUCACAUUCCAGGAAUUCAGAUGAAGUGAAGUGCUCUCAUGGGGACCAGGCAUGGUUAUGCCAGUCCACUGCCCUGCAAGCCUCAAGGGAAGCCAACUGCCCUUCAGCAAGUCACACCUGCCUUGGUGGAGGCCUUGAUUGGAAGUGCCACACGCUACAUGUCCAGUCCUGAGCGGGAGAAUCGGUGUAGGGACGUUCUGGGGAUGCCAGCUGUGGCCAGAUCAGGUCCAACUACAGAAGAAUAAUGAAGACUCCACCUGAGGGCUGGAAAAACAAAACCUCAAGUGUGAGGCAGCCAACCUGUUACCUCGAGGGACUGUUCCGCAGCACAGCGGGGCCAUGGGAACAGCAGCAGACACCCCGACCUCCUCGCUACCUAUCAACUAUGGCCUGAGUAUGAUAGACUUAUCCAUGGUUUAAACAGAAUAUAUUGUUUUCAACUUUGAAAAUAAGAAUAUGGAAAUCCAGAUGCAGAAAUGUGAGAAGAAAAGAGAGUAAACAGAGUGGAAGGUCAGGUGACCUUGCCUGUCAUGAAUAUGAAGGUCAAGGUGUGUGAAUUG